ACAGCCGGCGGGCUUGGGGAAGUGUUGGGGAGCCGUUUGUGAGCCGGCUGAUACGUACCGGAGGCGCCUGGCUUGGGGUCCCUGGGCCUUCGCCUUGGGGCUGCCCUUCAGCUGAACCUUGCGGGCCAAACGGGCGGCUGCAGGCUGGGUGGGUCGGGCUCUGGAGGCCCCUCUCGUGCUCUGAGCGGAAGAAGCCGAACACCGGAAAACCUGAAUAGAUGGAAAGGGCUUGAGAGCGGAGAGAUUUUAUUCCUCAAAGUUGCUCCCAAAAUUAAAGCCACGGUUGCCCCUUCAGGAGCACCUGCACAUCCUCAGGACAUUGAGAAAAGAAAACCUAAAAUCAACAUCUGAGUAUUAGUUUCUUGGAGCUGCCAUGACAAAUUACAGGCAUACCCUGGAGAUACCGCUUUAUCACUACAAAAGGAGCUUCAUCUUUCAAGAUAACCUGAGGAAUUGAAGCAGUUGGUGGUAAAUUAAGUGUGACUUCAACAAGGGAAAACAUGGCUUACACUGUGGAAUGCCUGCGGGAUGAUAUUGAUAUCCUAAUGGAGUUCCCUUCCACGGCACCAGAAUUUCGUCGUUGGAAAGUAGCUGCUAUUCAGUCUCAGCUAAGGAUUGACAAAGCUGUUGCUAUUCAGAAUCCACACGCUCGUAUAUCACUGUUUUAGACCUGGAUCUCUGUGUCAUUUUUACCAUAUGCACUGUAUACUUACCUGGAUUGCUGCCUUCUUCCACAUUACUGCACUGAGAAAAGAGUACCAGACAACCUAUCCAAAUGUUUAUAUGCAAGUGCUGUUCUUCAUAUCAAAGGUAACAUAUACUGGGGAAUUUUCCAGUAAUGAUGACAUUAUACUAAACUAAAACCAUUCUGUCAAACUUCUUACUCUAGCUAGGUGGAUUAUGGAUAUAGUCAGUAGCCCCAAGAGUAGAUUUUCCUCCAACUAGCUAAGUAUUAGUGAGGUCAUUAAUUGAACCUCAUUAAUUGAACUCAGUAACUAAGUGUAAAUGAGUAUUCUAAAAGUAAAGGAUGAUUGAUAAUCACAGGUAGCCUAGAAGAUGAUGUUAAAAUCCUACAUUUGCUUAUUAGGAUGCAUAAAAUGAGAAAAUACAUAUUUUGUCCUGUACAUAAAAUAAUUACUUUGAAGUUAAAUUUAAAUUUUUUAAAAAAGUAAUGAAUUACUUAGGAACCAUAACAAGGAAUCUUAUUUAAAACAUAUAGACAGUAAUAUAUCAGCAUGUUAAGUCACCUUUAGGACUCCUAGAUAAGAUUCAGUGGGUUAGAAUAAGAAGACAAAAUGGGUUAGAAUAAGAAGACAAACUCUUGUGUGUUGAAAUGCUGAUAUAGAACUAAUCCCCAGAGCUUUAGAAGACUGUUUCUAUAUGUGCCUACUUAGCUACAAUCCAGUAGGUAGCUAUCAUCCAGUAACCAUUUAGAAUCACACCAGUAGCUCAUAAAAGAUGUCUGCUUUAAGUGGACCACCCUGUAUUUAAGAUUUGAUUUCCUUCGUUGUGAAUAUCUUCAUAGUUACUAGGAAAGUGGGUACAUUAUGGGUUUUCCUCCUUUGCUGUUUAUUUUAUUUUUUGUGUCUAUAAGUUGUUGGCCAGUGCUUUUGUUCUCUCUGUUAGCCUAAUGUUAAAAUAUUGUAUCCCUUAUCACUUUCUACUGCCCUUCCUCUUGGCAAAUCCCCAACUUGUCCAUUCAAGCAGUUUUGUACUCAGAUGAAAAAGUCUGAGGUGUAGAUGUCAUCAGCUAUUCCAAAUGAUCAAAGACACUGGUACAGUUCAGAUUUUUCUGGUAUCCCAUUAAAUACCAACCAUAGCCCUUUACUGUGCUCAGCUUCUGUUUCUCUGAGCUGCAGUUUUUACUGAGUUUUUAGAACUUGCAGUUCUCUAACUAGGACUGACUUUUGACCUGUAUUGUUAUAGGCUACAGAGGCAUUAACUCCUUUUCUGUGAAACUGCUCUCUUUUAUACAUUCCAAAAAUUAUUUAGAGAUUCUGAUUUGUUGUUGAUAUACUUGUCAUUUUUCCCAUGCUGUUAGAGAGUUUUAUAUAUAUAGUUACAUCAUUUCAGUGGGAUUUGGAGAAGAGUAAAUUCACUCACUUUACUUUCUGAAGGUGUUUAAUAAAUGUUAAUUGAAUGAGAGGAAUCAGUAGUGCAGUUGAUUUGAGCUAAAUAGUAACAAGUAUUUGUGAGAAACUUAGUCCAUGUUCACUUACUGUCUUUUAAAUAUUUAUAAUGAGAAAGUAUGAUAAUUUUCCUAAGAUGACAUCUUUUUCUAGGUAAGUCAGAAAUGGUUUAAAUUCCAUAAUCCCCAUAUGGCCUAACCAUAUGUGUAAUCAGUUAGAGUGCAGGAGACAUAAUGAAGUGUCUAAGAGCAAGGUUCUGGAGCCUGGGUUCAGGUUCUUCCUAUUCCACUUACUGGCAGUAUGGUCUUGGCCAACAUACUGGAGAAGUCUGUUAGAGGAUGAAAGCAUUCACUGUACAAAGUACUAAAGGGCUUGGCACAUAGUACUAUGUAGGCAGCUAUCUUAAAAUUCAUCAAAAGUACUGUGUAGUUUAAGGUUGUAAAUAUAAAUAUUACCAUCCUGGAAUAUACAUUUUGGCCAAAUUGGCCAGA